rnacentral:misc_RNA from 1 species
GGAAGGAUCAUUAACACGUUUACCACGUAUUAACAAACUUCGUGAACCUUUUUGUCAUAGUCAGUUCUGGAUGGGGCAGGAAACCGAGGUGAUUCUUGGUCGAUCGCUCUUGUCUAGUCCUGAUUGUAAGAUUAUGCGGUUUGAGUUAUGCAGUUCGACCACCCGUUGAACCCUGACACGUUUCUGUGUUGGCCGUAGACGGUCCCGUCUGUAAUCACUCCGCACGAAAUCACUGAACUAAUAUCACCCUUGUCAAGCCUCUACGAUUUAGCGGUUCCGCUUUCGUAGUUGAUUGAUGUUGAACUUAUUUUCUUUGUUACUGAAGGACUGCAAACCGUGGACCUCACGGCUAGCUUUUCUUUAAUACAAACUCUGUACAACUCUUAGCAACGGAUAUCUUGGUUUCCGCACCGAUGAAGAACGCAGCAAACUGCGAUACGUCUUGCGAAUUGCAGAAUUCAGUGAAUCAUCAAAUCUUCGAACGCAUCUUGCACUCUUAAGCUUGCUUAGGAGUACGCACUCUUCAGUGUCGCCUAGCAUCCAAUUCAAGUGCGUCAUGGGGCUUUAUCCGGCCUUGCGCUUGUAAAAAUCUGAUUGAGUAUUCACUGUCCUUUCGGGGAUAUGUGUUACUUUAAGUUGUAAAGACGAUCGUUCUCAAAUGUUAAGUAGGGUUCCGCGAGGUGCCCUGGACAGCAUAAGAUGACUUCUGCCUUGUUUACUCAGGGCUGGAACCAAAAAUCAAGUGCUCUCCGGAUUAUAAGGCGUCCUUGUUGGCCUGAAACGCAGGCGGGUUCGGUUGUGGGUGUCACGUUUCUGUGAAUAAAUCCCCAGAGUGUGAACGGUUGUUUACUCAGCAGAACACACUCUAAAGUUAUUGUUUAAUAACUUACCUUGCACACAUUCGCGCUUAGACCUGAAGUAGUACGAGAGCACCCGCUGAAUUUAAGCAUAUUAUUAAGCGGAGGAAAAGAAACUAACAAGGAUUCCCUCAGUAACGGCGAGUGAAGUGGGAAUAGCUCAAAAUGUAAAUCGGGUGCCGUUAGGCAUUCGAGUUGUAAUCUAAAGACGUGUGGUCAGCGUGUGACUCGGGUAUAACUCUUUUGGAAUAAGGGAUCAUAGAGGGUGAGAAUCCCGUUUAUGACCCGAUGUUCGCCGCGUACGAUACACGUUCAAAGAGUCGAGUUGUUUGGGAUUGCAGCUCUAAAUGGGUGGUAAACUUCAUCUAAAGCUAAAUAUUGGCGGAAGACCGAUAGCGAACAAGUAGCGUGAGCGAAAGAUGAAAAGAACUUUGAAAAGAGAGUUAAAAAGUACUUGAAAUUGCUAAGAGGGAAGUUAUGGAAACCAGUCACUACCAUGGGUUAUACUUACUACUCGUAGCGGGAAGAAACUUGGUCUGUGAGCCAAAAGCCAUGGGUCUUGUGGAUAUUCCGUUUGCGGGUGGGUCCUGUAGCUUGUGGUGUGUCAGAAUCAGUUUGACUCAUUGGAGAAAGCUUGACGGAAGGUAGGGCAUCGUGGGGUUCGCUCCGCUUUGUCUGUUAUAGCCGUCUUGAAAUAUACAUUGGGUUGGAUUGAGGAUCUAAUAAGGUACCCCGUUUAUUCGGGAUUGGGUUCUCGGGCCUGCGUUGCCUACUGGCUUGGACAGCAAAGCUGUGCGGUCGGGACAGCGAUGUACUGCCUGGGGGUUACCUAUUCGUACCUUUGUGACUUCUGACGAAAUGGUUUUCAUUGACCCGUCUUGAAACACGGACCAAGGAGUCUAACAUAUAUGCAAGUAUUUGGGUGUUCAAACCCUGAUGCGUAAUGAAAGUGAAGGAGGACUUGUGCCUCUGAGGUAGGACCCGUGCUUUAUUGUGCGGUGCACUAUCGACCGAUCGAUCACUUGUGGUAGAUUUGAGUAAGAGCAUAUCUGUUGGGACCCGAAAGAUGGUGAUCUAUGCCUGAACAGGGUGAAGCCAGGGGAAACUCUGGUGGAAGCUCGUAGCGGUACUGACGUGCAAAUCGUUCGUCUGAUUUGGGUAUAGGGGCGAAAGACUAAUCGAACCAUCUAGUAGCUGGUUCCCUC